rnacentral:rRNA from 1 species
AUUUUGGACAAUGGGCGAAAGCCUGAUCCAGCCAUGCCGCGUGCAGGAUGAAGGCCUUCGGGUUGUAAACUGCUUUUGUACGGAACGAAAAGGUUUGGCCUAAUAAGCUGAGCUCAUGACGGUACCGUAAGCAUAAGCACCGGCUAACUACGUGCCAGCAGCCGCGGUAAUACGUAGGGUGCGAGCGUUAAUCGGAAUUACUGGGCGUAAAGCGUGCGCAGGCGGUUAUGUAAGACAGAUGUGAAAUCCCCGGGCUCAACCUGGGAACUGCAUUAGUGACUGCAUAGCUGGAGUACGGCAGAGGGGGAUGGAAUUCCGCGUGUAGCAGUGAAAUGCGUAGAUAUGCGGAGGAACACCGAUGGCGAAGGCAGUCUCCUGGGCCUGUACUGACGCUCAUGCACGAAAGCGUGGGGAGCAAAC